rnacentral:rRNA from 1 species
UACGAAGGGGGCUAGCGUUGCUCGGAAUCACUGGGCGUAAAGAGCUCGUAGGCGGCUUGUUGCGUCGACUGUGAAAACCCGCGGCUCAACCGUGUGGUCUGCAGUCGAUACGGGCAGGCUGGAGUUCGGUAGGGGAGACUGGAAUUCCUGGUGUAGCGGUGAAAUGCGCAGAUAUCAGGAGGAACACCGGUGGGGAAGGCGGCGUGCUGGACCCCAUCUGACGCUGAGGCGCGAAAGCCAGGGGAGCAAACGGG